CAUGUAAUUCGUCAACUGAUUGGCAGCAUCGGCUAGUUCAAAGUGCAUCACAGAAUUGAAAUACGUAAUCAAGUUUACUGCAAGCGCAAAGUUCGCCAUGCUCUCGAAACCAAAUGCAACUGCAACAGAAAUCCAAAAGGUAAUCAAAAGGUAUAAAAACAAAGUAACAAAUGCAAAAUUACAAGCAGAAUAAAUCUCUUAAUGUUCCAAAAAGUUCCCAUCAUGAGCUUUUGGUUUUGACCAAGUCUAAGACCUUCUCUUUGGAGAGAGCCCAAGUUGUUCGAUGUAUUAUAACUAUUUAGCCGGACGAAAGAUCCAUAUUCGACUCAGAAUGCGAUGGUUUGUGCAAUAUGUCAUUAAAGAAGGGAAUAUUUGAUAGUGUUUGGAAAGGAGAAGAGAACCAAUAAUCAUGAUGAUCUCAGAUUGUUUGCCUAAAUGAUUGGAGUGUUUUAAUUAUUAAAUAUAUGCUUUAGCUUUCAAGCAGGCCAUCUAGUUUGACCUUAGUAUGCUAUAUAUACUGUAUACAGCAUCAAUUAUGUUCCAUUUUUCAAUUCAAAAGUAGUUUGAUUGUCCUUUUCAAAAAAAAAAAAAAAAAAAAAAACUAUUCGUGUAUGUUUAUAUAGUAUAUAUAAGAAUAAAUAUCAUUUUGAUGAGUGAUGAGAUUGCAGAUAAA